AUCUGGGUGUGUGCAAGGAGUAGAGAUGAGCAUUCUAUGGUUUUUCCCACAGAUGACACAGAACCUGAAUUACAAGCUCACAUCACAUCUCUUAUAAUGUGUAAACUUGCAACCACUUAUCCUCAGCCUCCUCCAUGCUGUGUUGCAAAGAGAAAGUUCCAGAAUGUCUUGGAAGGCAUGGACGUCAGUGAUGUGUUAGAAUUGUAAGCUUACUGUCAAAGGUUCUAAACCAAGAAGAAGAGAAUAAUCUAGCAGUGUUUUCCUUCAUAUGUUGUAUUUAUAAGGGUUUUUUAAAAAUUAAACAUAGUGACUUGUGUGGGUGCUUAAAAAAACCCACCAGAGGCAAAGCAAUUUGAUGUCAACGGUACUUCCAAAUUCACUGAAUAUAGCUCAAAUCACUCUUUGCUCUUAAUUGAAUUGAUAUCCAUCUGGAACAACUGCACUAUCACGUGGAAGUCAUAAAGAGGCUGUGUACGUCCUGACUGCAGGACUUCUGGUAACACAAAGGACCUAAGCAGUCCUCAGUGGAUAACUGUGAAAAGUUUAGAAUUUGCAUAAUCAGUUGCUUCAAUUUCUUACCUUUAGGUUUUCCUCCUGAGUUUACUUAACCAUAUGCCAAAUAUCCACCAAAGAUUUGAUAACCCCCAAAAAGGCCUAAGAAAGGAAACAUCGUAAAAUAUCAUGGCUGUAUAUUUGUGCUUUAUUCCCUUCAACGGCCUCCUGAAGCUCACAACGUCUACCAAAACCCACACUUCUAUAUGCACAGAGCCUCAGCUCUGCAUAAACACGAUUCUCCUUCUUUUGAAUUUGUAUGAGCUUUUGCAGACUGAAUUUCAGUCCCCGAAGUGACACCAUAGUGCCAUCGUUCUCUCUUCUUUGAAGCAUCUGAAGUCCUCUUUCGGUCACUUAAAAGUCUCUUAAAAAGCCCUGAGGAGUGAAUUAAUGCCUCCUUCAGUGCACCCCUUUGCUGAAACUGCGAAUGGCAGUAAGAAGUGGUUCGGGCGUUCGUGUCCAGUGGAUUACGAGCAGAGCCAGGAAUAGGGAAAUGUUUUCUAAUCUUUGUAUGGCUGCUAAUUCAUUUAAUGGCAUCAAGCAGAUUUCUUAAUCUCAUUACAUCAUAGUUACUCCAUGUUUGAAAUAAGGUUGAUGAAUAUCCAGCAUUGUUCAUCAUCUUGCGAUCUGCAGCUAUAGAAUAACAACGUAGGCAGACUGGGGAUGACAGAUGAUUCAAAUAGUGUUUUGUGAUCCUGGCCUAUGGCAAAAAUGUAUGUUGCCAGGAUAGCAUACUCAAUACCAAAGCAGUUGCUAAGUAAACAAUGUGGAUUAUGAAAUAACUAAUACUUAAUUAAAAACGGUGUUAAGAUUUAUGAAGUCCACCAAAAGACCUCCCUAGAGACUUCCUCAGCUUCUUGUCUGGAAAAUAUUUUAAAUUUAUUGUUAUCAUCACCCUAAUUAUUUUCAUGAUUCCAGAGUCCUAUUCAGGAUUUAUGUACUGAAAAGAAGAACUAUGUUAUCUAGGUAGGUCUUCAGAAAUUGGCUUCUUCUUGUUGGUUACUCAACAUGUGUGGUUAUUUUGGGGCUGUUAGGGCCUGGUGAUAAAUGUAAAAAAGCUGCCUAUCGUGCAUUCAUCCCUGCCUUAGCUGGGUACUGAUUAGAUUGGCUUUUCAUUGUGCUCCCAGAACAUCGUUUUAUUAAAGCUUUUUGUCAUGACAUGAGACUCACUGUAUUCAUGGAUAAGGCUUAUUCAAGGGAGUGUGACUUAAGGGGCUGGGCCCAAAGCUAGCCAGGACACUGAGGUUAUGUAGCUUUGGAAAGAAGCAGGACACUAUCAGCAAGCAUGGAAAAUAGGUCCUAAACAUAGAACCAGUGGCAGUCUAUUUGAAGACAAUCCUUCUGCAAUGAAACGUGAUCCAGAUUGGUGUCAGGGGUCUAUUUGCUAUUCACUGACAUUAACGUCAACUCACAGCUGGUAUUCUUGAGGAUCAGGAGUUUUGUAUUAAACUGGAGGAGAAUGGAUGCAUUCCUGUUUCCAGGCCUUCAAACACUGCAGCUGGGGCCCAUGUUGCAUGCCCUCUUGUCUGCUGCUACUCCUGCCCCCAGCAGACCCAUAUGGAGCAGUGGUGGCCUUGCAGGUGCUUCCCUCAGAGCAGUAUCUCCAAUAUCUACUGCACUGCGGCUGCCCGUGCAGCUCACCGGGCAGAUGAGGCCCUGCCAGCAGCAGCAUGCCAGGUUGUUGCUGGCAAAGCUGGGCGCUCCUGGCCAGGCCUGGGGCAUCUGCAGGGCUCUUUCCGCCUGGACAAACCCUUGCAAGGUUUGCAAGAUGGAGUGUGGGCCUUCACAUAUACCCAUAAUGAAUUAAACACAGAGGUAUGCUUUGCCCACAUCAACUUCAAGUAAUUCCUCUCUUUAAUGUAAACCUCUGUAUGAUACAGCAUUUGUCUCUUUAACCUGGCACAUGCCUUUAUAAACACACCUUUGUUUUUUUGCAUGGAGACGUAUUGCCAACAUCGUCAAGGUCCAUCUAAGAAAAUACAAAGCCCAUUAGAAUGAUAUUCAUUUUAUGCACACUUACUUACACCUUAAACCAUACCAAAUGUAUGAGCCUUAGGGAUACGUAGUGAAUUUUUCACCCAAAGCUCAGUUAUUUUCAAUUCAACUGAUGAAUUGAGUGUACUGACUUCAAGGUCACAGGGCAUGUUGGUUGGAUGGCUAAAAUUCUUCAGAAAGGGCUUUGUGUAUUUAUAAGGAUAACAGUAAUAUUCAGAGUGACAUCAGGAGGGUAAUAAAAAUAAUCAAAGGAGUUUAGUGAAGGAAUUAAUACAUUACCAUGUAGAAUAACAAAUGAGGAGUAGGAAAAUGCAAUUCCUCUGUGGGGUUUUGUAUACCUGCCUUCCACUGUGCUGCUCCCACCUCCCUCUGUGGUCCUCAGGGCUGCACACUCUGAGAGGCACACCUCUUUUCCAGCUGGGCAGCAGACACCAAAGAAAUGUGGUCACCGAGCUCUGAUAGAUGAGGCAUGGUUUUACUAAAGAGCACAGAUGACCGUGGUAAAAGUGUAGUGAAGAGCAGGGACUUAAGGAUUUUUGGGUGGUUGCUUGUGCGUGCCCGUUCCUGGCUGCUUGCUUUCCAGCAGUGCAGACAAGCCCGCCGUCCCAUCCUGCCUGGUGCAGCAGCAGCGUGUCGUCAGGCCUUGUGGUAACUCUGCAAUGUGGAGAAACUGGCAUGAGGAAUAUGCCUGUGCUGUGCUGUGAACUACUGGAGCUGACUUUGAGUUCAGCAGCCAUACAAGAAGUCUGGUGGUGCAGAUCUGUACUGGGCUGCAGCAGUGAGAGAAAACAGUUCUCUGUUCCCAUGUUUGACAUUUUCAGUGCCUUCCAGCAAGGUGGAAUAUCCUGACAAACGGAGGUUACUUUGCAUGGCACUGCGGAAAGCAGUCAGGGAAAAUAUGGCCAGAGAAGAUUAAACCAUGUAAAAUAAACAAAACCUGAGCAUUUCUGAACUAUUCUUGUAAGACCCAAUCAUUCCCCUUCAUCACGUUUAUUUCAAAGAAUUCAUAGAUUCGUUAUAUAAAUUUGUAUAUAUAGCAAAAUGCAAAAAUAACCUUUCUCCUUUAAGAAUGAAUAGCUCAGGGUUCUUACACCACAUCAUAUGUUCACAUGAGCAGAGUUAUUGACGCCAGUAAGGACAGCUCUGGGACCAGA
ensembl:lncRNA